rnacentral:rRNA from 1 species
GACGUAGGGCGCGAGCGUUGUCCGGAUUUAUUGGGCGUAAAGAGCUCGUAGGCGGCUUGUCGCGUCGACUGUGAAAACCCGCGGCUCAACUGCGGGCCUGCAGUCGAUACGGGCAGGCUAGAGUUCGGUAGGGGAGACUGGAAUUCCUGGUGUAGCAGUGAAAUGCGCAGAUAUCAGGAGGAACACCGGUGGCGAAGGCGGGUCUCUGGGCCGAUACUGACGCUGAGGAGCGAAAGCGUGGGGAGCGAACAGG